rnacentral:rRNA from 1 species
UACGUAGGGUGCGAGCGUUGUCCGGAAUUAUUGGGCGUAAAGAGCUCGUAGGCGGUCUGUCGCGUCGGCUGUGAAAACUCGGGGCUCAACCCCGAGCCUGCAGCCGAUACGGGCAGACUAGAGUUCGGCAGGGGGAGACUGGAAUUCCUGGUGUAGCGGUGAAAUGCGCAGAUAUCAGGAGGAACACCGGUGGCGAAGGCGGGGUCUCUGGGGCCGAUACUGACGCUGAGGAGCGAAAGCGCGGGGAGCGAACAGG